rnacentral:tRNA from 1 species
AGUAAGGUAUGUUAAACAAACAGUUACCGUUCAAAGGUAGAAAUGACUAUUUCAUGUCUCUUACUU